AGAGAAUUGUUUGCCUUUCUCUGGUUUUCUUUCUCUUUAUUCUGCUUAUUAAACCUCAGCUCCUAAACUCCUCAUGUAUGUCUAUGUCCUAAAUUUCCCUG